rnacentral:lncRNA from 1 species
CGCAUCUAUUAUGCCCGCGCCCCUCCUGUUCCAUGAAGGUUCUGGAUGGAGGUCUCAUGAGGGAUUCGGGCAGAGGCUGAUGAAAACAUAAAACAGGCCAGUCUCCAGAUUCAAGGGAGAGCUGGAGACAGCAUUCAUAGCUUGACCAGGCAGCUUUGACCAGCAGAGGCAGCGACCACUGGAGAGGGACACUAAGGACUGCUCCUGGAUCUUGUUUAAACACAAGGAGCUGGGUUUCGAAGACUCCACGAGGGACUUUAGGACCCUACGUUACUUAUCGACAUAAAAAGAGGAGAAGAUAAAGCCUCACAAUUCUUCCUCCCACUUCCUCAGGUGCCCCACUGUCAAAUCCUCUCCCUUCCAGACCCUUCGUAAAGGCGUGACCUGCUUCAAGAAACACGAUAUUUGAAAAUAUGAAAUCUACACAUCGAGACACAUUAAGAGUGACUGUUCGCAUGACAAAAGGGUUUGCCACUUUACAAAAGAUUCAUCCCAGUGUUUCUUAAAGAACCAUACAACUGUGAUGUAUUUUAAAUGUCUUUCAAUUAAAAGAAUUGACUCAUG